rnacentral:rRNA from 1 species
UACGAAGGGAGCUAGCGUUGUUCGGAAUCACUGGGCGUAAAGCGCACGUAGGCGGAUUUGUCAGUCAGGGGUGAAAUCCCGGGGCUCAACCUCGGAACUGCCUUUGAUACAGCAAGUCUUGAGUUCGAGAGAGGUGGGUGGAAUUCCUAGUGUAGAGGUGAAAUUCGUAGAUAUUAGGAAGAACACCGGUGGCGAAGGCGGCCCACUGGCUCGAUACUGACGCUGAGGUGCGAAAGCGUGGGAGCAAACAGGG